AUGAUUAAUUUUAAUGGCCGCGGUAUUUUGACCGUGCAAAGGUAGCAUAAUCAUUAGUCUUUUAAUUGAGGACUUGUAUGAAUGGUUGGACGAAAUAUUGACUGUCUUGUGUUUAAUAUUAUAAUUUUAAUUUUGAGUUAAAAUGCUUAAAUUUUUUUAAAGGACGAGAAGACCCUAUAGAUCUUUAUUAUUUAUUUUAUUGUUAUUUUUGGUUUAGUAUUAUAUUGAUAUUUUUGAUUAUUUUGUUGGGGUGAUGUGGAGAUAUUUUUAACUCUUUAUUUUUAUUUUACAUUAAUUUUUGAUUUUUUGACCUUUUAUUAUUGUUUAUAAGAUUUAGAUACCUUAGGGAUAACAGCGUAAUUUUAUUUGAGAGUUCUUAUCGACAAUGGAUUUUGCGACCUCGAUGUUGGAUUAAGAUUAUAAUUAGGUGUAGAUGCUUAAUUGUUAGGUCUGUUCGACCUUUAAAUUCUUACAUGAUCUGAGUUA
rnacentral:rRNA from 1 species